rnacentral:rRNA from 1 species
UACAGAGGGGGCAAGCGUUGUUCGGAAUUACUGGGCGUAAAGGGCGCGUAGGCGGCCUGUUAAGUCGAACGUGAAAUCCCCGGGCUCAACCCGGGAACUGCGUCCGAUACUGGCAGGCUUGAAUCCGGGAGAGGGAUGCGGAAUUCCAGGUGUAGCGGUGAAAUGCGUAGAUAUCUGGAGGAACACCGGUGGCGAAGGCGGCAUCCUGGACCGGCAUUGACGCUGAGGCGCGAAAGCCAGGGGAGCAAAACAGG